rnacentral:rRNA from 1 species
CCUACGGGAGGCUGCAGUGGGGAAUAUUGGACAAUGGGGGAAACCCUGAUCCAGCCAUGCCGCGUGUGUGAAGAAGGCCCUCGGGUUGUAAAGCACUUUCAGUGAGGAAGAACGCCUGGUGGUUAAUACCCAUCAGGAAAGACAUCACUCACAGAAGAAGCACCGGCUAACUCCGUGCCAGCAGCCGCGGUAAUACGGAGGGUGCGAGCGUUAAUCGGAAUUACUGGGCGUAAAGCGCGCGUAGGUGGCUUGAUAAGCCGGUUGUGAAAGCCCCGGGCUCAACCUGGGAACGGCAUCCGGAACUGUCCAGCUAGAGUGCAGGAGAGGAAGGUAGAAUUCCCGGUGUAGCGGUGAAAUGCGUAGAGAUCGGGAGGAAUACCAGUGGCGAAGGCGGCCUUCUGGACUGACACUGACACUGAGGUGCGAAAGCGUGGGUAGCAAACAGGAUUAGAUACCCGAGUAGUC